GAGUGUUCAUUUUGGAGUGACAGAAAAAAGUCAGAUAAAAAUAAGCAACGUGGAAGAGCUUGGAAGUAGCUAGGACCGAACCCCGGAAAAACGCUAGCAGUGUCCUCUCCGAAGGAUGUUUGUCCAUCACUUUUCACCAUCAGCGAGAAGAAUAGAAAUGCUUCGGGAGAAUAGUUACCCAGCCUCCACGGAGCGAGUAUUGUCCCCACCCAGAACCCAGAACUUAUGAAGUUGGUGGGAGAAGGAACAUCAGAAGCGGAGUUUUCACUGACGGUCCUUUCAACCACACUAAGUCGGAGAGAAAUACGGAAAUACUAUACAAAGCAGAAAACUUAAAUUAAAAUUCAGUGGAUCCGGAUUAUUUGCUUCAGUAUACCAUAGCGAUGAUGCGGAGGAACUGGCAUGCAGUGUCAUCCAGUAAAUCGAGAGAUGAAAAUAGAAUUCUACAGGAAGGAACCUGCGCCCACCGUUACGUGAGGAAUGGUGGACAAUCGACAAGGAGGAAAGAUUUUCAAAUAGGAAAACGGAAAUGAACCGGAACAAGGACAACCAGUGGAAAAAUGAUAGUCAGUCUUCCUCUUUGAUAUCUUAUUUGUCGAUGUCGUCUAUAUAGACGAGGAGUAGGAAAAAAAUGUUAUGUAUCGUGAAUUACGAGAUGAGCCAUUUUCUAUAACUUCCUCGAACAGAACGAUUUAGUUGCUGAAGAAUAUACCGCAAAACAUACAUUAGUAUGUUAUUGCUUAAUUGAAGAUAUUAACUUUAGGAGAUAUUUCAGGAAAUAGCUGUAAUAAUUAUGUAUGACUGUCAUAAAGAGUUGGCCUUAAGUAUUAACAACAAUUUUGUAUGUAAUUUAAAAAUCAUUGAUAAUGUAUUCAUCAAGGAAAAGCAUUGAAGAAAACACAUACAUCCAACCGAAUUUCGCGUCGUUCAUUAGAAUGAUGACAAUGUUUUAGUAUUUUUAUAAGCUGCAUUUAGCAUUUUGAAAGGCUUUAUUUAUAUUCAAUGCAUUGAGUUGUAAAUAGUUGUAUUUGGUAUAGUUUUCACUUAUACUAGAGACAGACAGGUUACUCGUAACACCAUUCAAUUCUACCUUUAAUGACAACAGUAAUUACUGUGACAUUGUUACAAUAGGACGAUCACAACUAGUCUGUCUCUAGAAAAGAUAUUUUAGUUACAAGAUAAAUAUUGU